AGAGUUUGAUCCUGGCUCAGGAUGAACGCUGGCGGCGUGCCUAAUACAUGCAAGUCGAACGCACAGCGAAAGGUGCUUGCACCUUUCAAGUGAGUGGCGAACGGGUGAGUAACACGUGGACAACCUGCCUCAAGGCUGGGGAUAACAUUUGGAAACAGAUGCUAAUACCGAAUAAAACUCAGUGUCGCAUGACACAAAGUUAAAAGGCGCUUUGGCGUCACCUAGAGAUGGAUCCGCGGUGCAUUAGUUAGUUGGUGGGGUAAAGGCCUACCAAGACAAUGAUGCAUAGCCGAGUUGAGAGACUGAUCGGCCACAUUGGGACUGAGACACGGCCCAAACUCCUACGGGAGGCUGCAGUAGGGAAUCUUCCACAAUGGGCGAAAGCCUGAUGGAGCAACGCCGCGUGUGUGAUGAAGGCUUUCGGGUCGUAAAGCACUGUUGUAUGGGAAGAACAGCUAGAAUAGGGAAUGAUUUUAGUUUGACGGUACCAUACCAGAAAGGGACGGCUAAAUACGUGCCAGCAGCCGCGGUAAUACGUAUGUCCCAAGCGUUAUCCGGAUUUAUUGGGCGUAAAGCGAGCGCAGGCGGUUAUUUAAGUCUGAUGUGAAAGCCUACGG
rnacentral:rRNA from 1 species